ensembl:lncRNA
GCCAGAUUUAUUUUUCCGCAUGGUAAUAUGUUUUUUAGUUUUUGUCUCAGUGCCACAUGCUGGGGCUCGUUUUGAAGACAGCUAUUUGAAUGUGAGAAAAUUUGAAGCCUUUUUUGUUCACGAAGAAGGCAGGAUGUGAGGCAGAACUGGCAGUCUUUCUCCUGCAUUUCUAUUGUGCUUCUGUGUCGGGGUGUGAAUGGUGAGCUGGAUGUACCGACUCUAUUCAAAAAUCGUUCCACUGCCUAAAGGAGACUGGAAACAGAUAAUCCACCUUUCACAGGUACCAAGACCAAACAGAGAAAAUGACCGCAGGUGUGGAAUUAGUUUGCAUAAUGCAGGGUGCAAAUGGACGAUGUCUGCUGGAGUACAGGAGUGAUAGCGUUGUCAUCUGGGGUGAUGUUAUUCUCCUUCAGGCAAUGCGACAGCAGCCAGUGCUUGGUAAUAAUGAUUUUGUAAAGAUCUUCAGGGCUCAGAGAGGAAAAGUGAAUGUACUAUGCCUCAGCCAUCCUCUGAAACACUUUCCUGUUAUUGACCAGGUGUGUUGAUGGCUUUCCAAUCAGAUACAGGUUACAAAGAUCAAGGUGCUAAGUUGAGGCAUUUUCAUUCCCCUGGGACUUAUCACCAUAGAAACAACCUUCACUUUAAGAAAAGAUGAAUGAGCCAGAUGAAAGCAAGAUGGUCAGUACGUUUCAUAAGAAUGGAUAAUGGUUCUAAUUAAAAAGCAAAGCAAAUUUGACUAAACAGAUGCUGUGCCAAUGAUGCUUCCAUAUGUCCAGGGCCAUAAUUGAUCUGUCCUUUCAAUGUUAAAUUAGAAUUUUGCAUGAGAGACCUAUGCAACCCUAUGUCUAAAUCACUACAUUUUCAACCAUUAAAGUAUUAAUCUGAGUUAAUCAGAAUUUAUAAAUGACUUUUAUAAAUGUGUCAUGUCUUACAACUUAUCUGUAAGAAGGAUUAAUUUAUUAUACCAUUCACUUGAAGCAAG